rnacentral:lncRNA from 1 species
GCAGACCUAGUGAUGCAGGGCAGGUUGGACCAUUUUAUAGCAGAUUUUUUUUUUGAUCAGCAAUGAAUGAAUUAAAUUAAGAGGGAUACUUUAGGGGUAUCCCAACCCGUUUACAAACCACAAACUGAUUAUACCGCUGAGCAGCCAUAAAGAGGCUAUACCUGCAGCGAUAGAUACAAGAUAAACCCUGCAGAAAAGAAACAUAGCAGCAGGAUUGAGCUCACAAACCCACUAGACCCAUCCUCCAUGCAAUCAUGAGAAGGGUGCUCUUAGCUUAUGAUCUAACCUUUAAAAAAAAAUCCUAAGGAUACCUCAUUAGCAGUAAAGAAAACAGCAAGUACCCCGAAAAUUUAAAAUCACAACUGCAGCAAAAACAGCAAACACCAAAGUGCUUGUAUAAAUUCUCAUCUGCAGCAGACUCCAAAAAGUGAUGUUUUCUUUUGCACUCCAACCCACCUCACCCAUUUCUACCCCUGCAUGUUCUACCAAGACCACCCCUUCCCUCUAUAAAAACCAAAAACCAUCGUCCAAAACCAGCACCUACAUACACCUACUGUUGUCCUUCCGUACUCCACCCUUCCAUAUCUUCCUCUGUUGUAGCCUUUUCCAACUUACCCAUGCCAAGUAAAACCAAAAACCCGUAGAUGUAUGUACACGAUGUGCAGCCUCCAAGCUCCAGCAAGCCUGUCCUGCACCACUAACCCAGUUCCAGCAUUCUCACACCUAUACCAGUGAUGUUUACGCCAGCUCACAUGUGGGUGAGAAUAGAUUGAGUGAAGGAUAGUGCACUUCUCAAAGCAGUGCAUACUCUCAAAGCCUAUUACAGCACCAGAGCUAUCUCAACUUCUCCCAAGAUCCCUAUCACUUUCCGACCUCCAACACCAACGCAUCCCUUUCCAAGCAUUUCAGCUUGCUUGAAUUGUCCUUGGGUCAUCAUAGGCACCCCUACCCAUCCUCUGCUCCCAUCCUGGACANNNN